UAAACUUAAGAGAAAUAGCCCCAGUAGCUCAUGUUUAGAUAAUCUUUGUGCUGUGUGGACCACUCAGGAAGUUUAUCCGAAACUCCAUGACAUCAGAAACAUUCAACCUGCAAAAGAUGCUUCAACCCAACAUCUAGAACUUCAGGACUCAGGCUGAAUUUAUAAUUUGCCCCAACCACUAACUUUUGUUUUUCUUUUGUCUCCAUGGACAUGCCUCUUAUUUUAUCAAAUACUUAAUUGCUCUUACCAUAUAAAGCUAACUUGGGGGGCCCACCUGCAGCACCGGCUACUGAAAUGAAACAACUGUCUAACUGAACUGAUCUAUUCUCAAGACUAAGAGAUUGUUCAAUGACAUAAUAGAGCUUCUGACCUGUGAGACUUCUUUGAACUUUUAAAGACAGGACUGAAAGCGAGCAGGGUUUUGCCAUACCAGAAUAUGUCUCUUUGUAAUAAGGAUUUCUUUGAGUUUAUUUUUAAGAAACAGCAGACACAGGAAAAACUCUGAAAACCUAGUAGCAAUGAUCCUUUUGUAAGUGAUAUUUACAUUUAUGAGGGAGGUCUCCACUGUAAGGGUGUCUCUCUGAACCUGGGAGAAGGAUCACUAAAUGACAAGAAACGCAUCAGAUGGAGACAGUGCCCAACUUAAUUCUACAAAACAACCUUACUGCUUUUUUACUGUAGCUACCCUCCUCCUCCACCUUUCUUAUGUCUUUAGCUGAAGAAGGUAUUGAAGGUGAUGGCUUGGGCCAUUUCAGGGGAGUCAAACUCAGUUUUCCAGGGUAUCAUCUUUCCACAUACAUACAGGAUAUACGAGGUAUACAUGGUGUUAGACUUCUGUUAUUUUUCACCUGUUAAUCUGUCUUAUUACAGGAAUGAGGUCUCUGGUAAGAAUUUAGAAGAGUGGAGGGAAAAUUAUUUCUCCUACCCUAAAAGGACAUUUAGGAAGUUUGUGAGUUAUUACCUAUUAAAAUCAUAGCUUUUUCUCUUGUUGAAGAGCAGAACUCUCAAUCAACCAUGAUCUCAAAGAAACACACCAUAAUCCAGUGCUAAUGCAGAAUGGUAUAUUCUUAGCCUCAGAAAGGCACAGCAUACAUGGUUCAAACAGCAAAUCUGUGGUGGCCAUCAGAGCUCUGGCAGGGGUUACAUUACAUAUGUUAAACACUGCAGGCUUAUAGCCAUUUCAUAAGUUUAGAAGACUAGGUCAUUUACAGUGGAAUGUAUAUAAAUACAGGCACAUUUUUCAUCAAUACAAGAUAUAUGCUGUGUAUAGCCCAUUUAUCUUAUUCAACUUUGGUUUUAUAGUGACCAAAUUGUGGCAAAACUAAAUUAGAGGUACUGAUACAGUUAUUAAUUUGACUUAGAAAUUUAACACAAACUAUCUUAAAAAAAAUCUUUGGUGGCAUAGUAAAGGCAUACUUCAGUACUCAAUAAUAAGAUUUAGUUAAAAAAAAAAAAAAGGCACUCAAACUAACCCUUGAGGUCUCAAAGCAUGAUCUAUAAAUUGACAGGCUACUCUGUUAGGUGAUUUUUCAAAUGGCUAUUAUUACACACUAAUUAAAAAAAAAACAACUAAAUCACAGUGGCUUUUUGAAAUUGUGUAAAAUAAUCAAAUUCAAAAAUUAGACAAAAUCUUACAGCCUCAAGUCAAGAAAAGAAAUACAAAAACAAUUUGAAAAUAAAGACUUAGAAAAAAGUUUUGCUAAAUCCACACAUCUCACAAGCUUCAUCACCCAUCCCUGUCCCUGUCCCUGUGGCAUCAUGAUGGACUUGGUACAGCCCAGUGAGCUGAGCCAGGUGAUGUCAGAAGCACUUUCAGAUAAAACAUCGGGAGCUUGCAAACUGGGUCUUCUGGCAUGGCUGAGGAGUGAGCAGCAGCUUCUAAACCAGGUUGAAUUCCCUCAGGUUUAGUUGUAGAAUUGUGUCUUUCACAGCAGCAAACACGAAGCGGAUAUUCUCUGUGUCUGUAGCACAUGUGAAGUGGGAAUAGAUGACUUUCUCUUUGUCAGGAUUCUGAUCUUGAUAAAGCUUCAGGAUAAAAUCUCUGGCAGCUUUGACAUCUUGCUUUGGUCCUAGUCACGAGGGCAGGUAGAGGAAGAAAGAAGGAAGAUACCAACUCACCACCAGGUCCUCCCCAAAAUCAUUUUCAGUGUACCCCUCUGUUCUUAUUUCUAGAGACUUCAUUUACCUGGGGCAUUAUUAUUAUAUACCUUAUUAUGAAGCUGUAAAAGAUUAUUUUAGUCCCCUGGUAUCUAAAAAUCAUACCUUAAGGAGUUCUGUUGAAAAAUAGAGAUCUAAUUUAAAUUUCUGAUUUGGAUCACUUUUUUUGUUUCUUGGCCGAGCCCGAGGGAUGUAAAAAUUCCCAGGCCAGGGAUCCAACCUGCAUCACAGCAGUGACUCGAGCCUCUGCACUGACAAUGCCAGAUCCUUAACCACUAGGCCACCAGGAACUCCAUGAUUCGGACCACUCUUGAAGAGAGGUGAAAGACAAGACUUAGGAUAAACUGGAAAGAAGAGCAGUGCUUUGGGAACAAUAUGCCAGAUCACUGGUUCCAUCCAUCAUCCCCCUGCCCAGCUGAAGUCCCCCGGUCACUGUCCUUGCUGAGGCUGGUGAGCAUGUGGGGCCCCUCAGGGCACCUGGCCUCCUAUUUCCCUCCCCCGACCACCCUCUCAUUAAUCAUCCCCUUCUAGAUCUCCUCUCUUCUGUCACCCAAACUCUUCUGUGGCCCCAAUAACACAUAAGGAUAUAAGAAAGGCUUUUGUGCAACUCAGAAAACAGUUUUCUGUGAAUAAAUUGUGAUUAUGAAGUGGAGGCAGGUCAGAGCUGCAGACCUGAGAUGCCCAUUUUAAUUGAGGAUAGGCUUCCAGGCUGGGUAUCGGGAGUCCCAUAACAAUGAGAGGAAGGCAGGCUCUUCUUGCAGGACCACUGCCCUCAGGAACGCUGGGCACAAGCAGAGAGGGGACUAGUGCCACCCAGCACCUGCCCCGUGCCACACUUUACACACAUGUGACAGCUCUCCAAGGGGAACGGGCCCCCGUUUUAUGGAUGAGCCUACUAUCUGUUGCUCACAAAAUUUAAAUACUUUUCCAAGACUAUAAUAGUACAGUCUAGUGGAAGCUAUGUAGGAUAGUAAUAAUUUCUAGAUGUUAGACACUGGCAAGAAAUUAUUAAAUGAUCCUGAUUUAUGGAGAGCAGACAGGGCACAUACAAAUCUUAUCUGGUGACAAUAAUCAUUCUUGCUAGGAUUCUGCUCUCUCAAGUAUUUCUGAGAGAAAAGAAACCCUUCCCUUCCUCCCUUUGGACUGAGAAAUGUGAGAACCCAGUGCACCUGCUCCAGGGGGACAUGCUCUAAAUGUCUGUUCCUACAACUCCCAACACCUGGGCCCACUGUCCCACCCAGUACAUUUUGGGGAAUCAGUUCUGGAAUUUAUUACCAGUAAGGUAACCCCUCACUUAUUGUUAAAGCUGCUUUAAAAUUUACUACAAUCUUAUCAAUAAUAAUCUCCAAGAAAACACAACAUAUGAAAAAAAUGAUUCCUAUAUAGUACAGUGGAUGCAGUGUAUCUACAACCAGGAUGGAAAAGUCUGGAGUGGCAACCACUUAAUUUUUCCCAAAAUACCUUGGAUUUUUUCAGAGAGGAUAAACUGUUUAAUUUCUAAGCACAUUAGGCUAAGGCACACCUGACUAAUCUUUUGAGUUUCCUGAGAAAUGUCCUAAGUAAUUCCUGAGGCUAAUUUUUCAUACUGAUAACUCAGUGCCUUUGCUUUUUUAAAAAAAUGUAUCCACUGGAAGAGCUGGGCAGCAGCCAAGAUUUCUAUUCUUUGCACAAUGACACUAGUAAAUGGGUUAAUCCUUCCCUAAUUAGCUAAUGUAAUCGUGCUCCUCAGAGAGGUCGGCUCUUGAGAAAUACAAGGUAAAAUUUGUUCAUAGUUAUUGCCUAAUCGUGGACAGAAUUUUUUUAUUGAUUUACUCUCAUGCCCUACCAGCAAGAGAUAGUUCUAAAAGGUCACAAAGUCUUGUGCAAAGAGGGUCGGGGAAGGGUUGAUAGGAAACAAUGGUUAUGGCACAGAAAACAUCCCCACCCUCCCAAAGAGACUGUGAUGGUUCUCUCUGCAUUCCAGGCAGAUCCAGCUAGUGGAGCUCACCCAGUUAGCGCUCUGACAGCUCUGCAGAGGACACUAAAUGCCCGCUGAGGUGGAUCAGCCCCAGCUGCCUGGAGCAAGUCCCUUCUAGGGGGAGCAAAGAGUAGAUGCUAUCCCAGGCAGCCCUGAGACAGCCCCAGGCAUGUGGCUCCCCUCCCCAUGUCACCUCAGCUAGGGAUCAAAUUUGGGAGUGAGUGCCAUGGGCCAUGGUGGUCAGGAAGCCUGUUCUCAGAUAAAAUCUUUCAGAACCAAUGUGUUCAGCUUUAGCUGUAUAUUAUAGAUACUCGCAACUCAAAACCAGGAAAUACAAAUCUGUAUUGUAGGAUCUAGAAGAUGUUUUUCUUAAAAAAAAAAAAAAAAAAAAAA